rnacentral:misc_RNA from 1 species
GAUGAAGAACGUAGCGAAAUGCGAUAAGUAGUGUGAAUUGCAGAAUUCAGUGAAUCAUCGAAUCUUUGAACGCACAUUGCGCCCCUUGGUAUUCCAUGGGGCAUGCCUGUUCGAGCGUCAUUUGUACCUUCAAGCUUUGCUUGGUGUUGGGUGUUUGUCACGCCUUUGCGUGUAGACUCGCCUUAAAAUAAUUGGCAGCCGGCGUAUUGAUUUCGGAGCGCAGUACAUCUCGCGCUUUGCACUCAUAACGACAGCGUCCAAAAGUACAUUUUACACUCUUGACCUCGGAUCAGGUAGGGAUACCCGCUGAACUUAAGCAUAUCAAUAAGCGGAGGA